rnacentral:lncRNA from 1 species
UCUAGCUUCCCGGCUGCUUUGUUUACCCAAGCAAGCCUGGGCAAUGGCGGGCGCCCCUCCCCCAGCCUUGCUGCGGCCUUGCAGUUUGAUCUCAGACUGCUGUGCUAGCAAUCAGCGAGACUCCGUGGGCGUAGGACCCUCCUAGCCAGGUGCAAGAUAUAAUCUCGCGGUGCGCCGUUUUUUAAGCCGGUCCGAAAGCGCAAUAUUCGGGUGGGAGAGACCCGAUUUUCCAGUGAGAUGAACCCAGUACCUCAGAUGGAAAUGCAGAAAUCACCCGUCUUCUGCGUCGCUCACGCUGGGAGCUGUAGACCGGAGCUGUUGCUAUUCGGCCAUCUUGGCUCCUCUCCUGCACUGCAAGAAUGGACUAAUACGCUAUGUGAAGACAAAGGGGAUGUCUGCAAGCCAGGACGAGUGCGUCUACCAGAAACUGAGUUCUGCUGGACUUUGAUCUAGGACAUCCAGCCUCCAGAAUGGAAUGUGCCAUAUGUGGAGACCUGCAUGGAAAGGAACUGAGGAUGCUCUCUCACUAAAAGCUAGAAGGAACUGAGGCCCUCAGUCAACAGUCUACAAGACACUGAAUCUUGCCAGCAGCCAAGCAGUGAGCUUGAAAGCAGAUCUAUCAUCAGCUGAACCUUCAGAUGAGACCGCAGCCUAAGCAGAUACCUUGGUUGCAGCCAUGUGAGACAACCUGAAACAGAGGGCACAGCUAAGCCUCAGCCAGGUUCAUGACCCUCUGAGGAAACUGUGAGAAAGCAAAUGUCAUUUUAAGCUAUUUAAUUUUGGAGGUAGUUUAUUACACAACAAUAAAUAACUAUUAUAAUUAUCUUGAGGAUUUAUUUCCUGGGGAGAAUACAUGGAAUUGCAUAUAUAGGUCCUCAUAUGCAGAAUACUGGUACCCUAGAGAUGUUCACCCCAGAGAUGUUUUAGGAACCUGUGAAUAUGUUACAUUAAAUGGCAAAGUUUUCCUGGAUGGUUUAAGUUUAAGAUGGAAAAGUUUUACUGGAUUAUCCAGUGGGUCCAAUCUAGUAACAUGAGUCCUUAAAAAUGGAGAAUAUUUUUUGGCCAUGAUCAGAGAGACAUGUGAUGAUGGAAAAAGUGUCAGAGAUGCAAUGUGAGGGGACUAAAACUGCUGUUGCUGACUUUAAAGAUGGAGAGAGGGGAACCCGAGUCAAGGAAUGCAAAUGGCCUCUGGAAGCUGGAAAAAGCAAGAAAUGGAUUCUCCUUUAGAGCCUGUGGAAUAAAAUGCAGUCAUGCUGACACCUUGAUUUUACCUCAGUGAGACCAAUACUGGAGUAUGACCUUCGGAGCUGAAUAAAAUUAUACGUACACAUCUUAAUUUCUUGGGAUUUGAUUACUUCUUCUGCUUUGAAAUUAGACCAAGUUUAGCCUGCCUUUGCUAUUUUGGCGUAUCUCCAAUUCUUCAUGAUUUUCUCAUUAGAUUCUUAGGGAUUCUGAAAAACACCUUACAGACCAUGUGAGAGGUAACGAGGAGGCUCUCCUGGACUGAACUGUGUCCCCUCCAAAUUCAUAUGUUGAGACCCAAACUUCCAAUGUGACUGUAUUUGGAGCUAGGGCCUUUAAGGAGUAAUUGACAUUAAAUGAGGUCACAGGGUUGGGACUCUAAUUUAAUAGGACUGGUGUCCUUAUGAGAAGAGAAAGAGGCACCAGGCACCAGGCAUGUGAGCCCACAGAGGAAAGGCUAUGAUGUGAAGACAGAGAGAAGGCCAUCACACACAAGCCAUGGAGAGAGGCCUCCCCAGAAACCAACCCCACCGACACCUUGAUCUCGGACUUCCAAGCUUCAGAACUAGUGUUGCCUCCAUAUGAUGCAAAAUAUCCAACCUAGCCCUGACAUGAAAACUUAAUUGAAAGUAUCCAACAGUGGCGCAAAGGCCACAUAAGGACAGUGAGAAGGCAGCCACCUGCAAGCCAGGAAGAAAGGUCUCACCAGAUACCAACCCUGCCAGCAUGUUGAUCUUGGACUUCCAGCCUCCAAAACUGGCCUUCUGCUCACAUGGGCUUCCGUGCACCUGCUUCAGGAGACAGCAACACUUGCGCCCGCACCGCGGCAGGCUCCCAUCACCUGGUGGAUAUGCCGCGCCGAGUCUCAUCACACCUUAGUGAAGGAACACAUGGACCCAUAUGUUAGCGGAUGUAUUUACAUCGUUUUAUACAGAAAGGGGAAAUGGAGUCUUGCUCUGUCACACAUGCUAGAGUCCAGUGGUAUGACCUCAGCUCACUGCAAUCUCUGCCUCCCGGGUUCAAAUGAUUCUUCUGCCUUGACCUCCCUGGCAGCUGGGACUACAGGCCUGCACCACCACGCCUGGCAAAUUUUUUAAUUUUUUUUAGUAGAGAUGGGGUUUCACCAUGUUGGCCAGGCUAGUCUCGAACUCCUGACCUCAAAUGAUCUGCCCGCUUUGGCCUUCCAAAGUUCUGGGAUUAUAGGAGUGAGCCACCAUGCCCAGCCUGUUCUUAAGUCUCCUAGAACAGGGAUUCUGAAACACAAAACUCAUCUGGUGAGAAGAAUGAGAGCAAGAGAGGUUAAAUGGGUCGUUCAAGUUCAUAAAGUACUGACAGAAGAUGACCCUGAACUGUUCUCACUAUAUUAAAAGUCAGACAAGUAUUAUUAUUAUUAUUACUAAUAUAAGUAGCUCCAAUUUAUGUGAUUCUCAUGAUUUGGAGGACCUUACCUAUAUUAGCUUAUUUAAUCUACACAGCAAACCUAGAUGGUAAAUAUUUUCAUUGCCAUUUUACAGAGGAGGAACUGAGGUUCCUGAGGGUUAGGAAACUUGUAACAUGAACUCCAUACAGAUAUACAGAAUGAUAUAAACAAAUAAACAAAUACAUAAAUGUGGAAGAAGUAAAAGCUCUUCCUUGGAGUAAAAGGCCACCUAAUAAAUGAGGCAGGAAUGAUAAAAUUAGAGAAAUCAUUUGCAAACAUCACAGUAUUAAUUGCUUAAAGGAAGAAUUAUAAAUAGAUAAUAAAGCUAGUGGGUGAAACAUUAAUGGGACUAAGAUAUUUAUCUAGCCCCAAAAGUUUUGCUCCAUAAAAAUACUUACUUAGGCUGGGCAUGGUGGUGCACACCUGUAAUUCUAGCACUUUGGGAGGCCGAGGUGGAAGGAUUACUUGAGCUUAAGAGUUCAAUGGCAGCCUGGACAACAUAGUGAGACCGCAUCUCUAAAAAAAAAAUUAGCCAGGUGUGGUAGUGCGUGUAUGUAUUCUCAGCUACUCAGGAGGCUGAGGUAGAAGGGAUCGCUUGAGCCCCAAGUUGAGGCCACAGUGAGCUGAGAUUGCACCACUGCACUCCAGCCUGGGUUACAGAGAGUGAUCCUGUCUCAACAAUAAAAUAAAAUAAAAUGAAAAAAAUAUUUAUUACAAAUGAAAAAAAUGACAUGUUUACACUGGAGAGGCCUACAGGCAUCAUCUUAACCAAUGAUCAAAGUUAAUAUCUACACGAAUAGGACAAAUAAUAUCAUUUCCCUCCUGACCUCAUGCAUGUUUAAAACACAACAUAACUUCUUGGUUAUUUCUGUCAAGAGUGCAUAACCUGAAACUAAUCAUAAGAAACCACCAGAUGACCCCACGAUGAGAGGUAUACUAAAAAAUAACUAAGCUAUUAUUUUAUUUUAUUUAUUUUUUGAGACAGAGUCUUGCUCUGUUGCCCAGGCUGGAGUGCAGUGGCGCAAUCUCAGCUCACUGCAACCUCAGCCUCCUGGGUUCAAGAGAUUCUCCUGCCUCAGCCUCCCAAGUAGCUGGGAUUACAGGCUUCUUUUUGUAUUUUUAGUAGAGAGGGGGUUUCACCAUGUUGGCCAGGCUGGUCUCAAACUCCUGACCUCAGGUGGUCCACCCACCUCGGCCUCCCAGUUUUGGGAUUAUAUGCGUGAGCCACUGCACUCAGCCACCAGACUUUUUUUUUUUUCUUUUUACUUUUUUUGAGACAGCAUCUCCCUCUGUCGCCCAGGCUGGAGUGCAAUGGCACAAUCUUGGCUCACUGCGACCUCCGCCUCCCAGGUUCAAGUGAUUCUCCUGUCUCAGCCUCCUGAGUAGCUGGAACUACAGGCGCCCGCCACCACGCCCGGCCAGUUUUUGUGUUUUUAGUGGAUAUGGGGGUUUCACCAUGUCGGUCAGGCUGGUCUCGAACUCCUCACCUCAGGUGAUCUGCCCGACUCAGCCUCCCAAAGUGCUGGGAUUAUAGAUGUGAGCCAUCGUGCCUGGCCUAUUUUGAAAGCAACAUAUAAUCCAACUUUUUCUUUUGUUAUAAAGAGCAAUAUAGGAACAAGGAGUGAAACACCAAGGCAAUUUGACAGUUAAAUGGUAGAAGUAGAUCAGUGUUAAUUUCCUGAUUUUGUAAUUAUACUGUGGUUAUGUAACAGAAUGUUCUUGUUUUAGAAAGUACACAUUGAAUAAUCAAUGGUCAUCUUGUCUGUAACUUAAUUUCAAAUGUUUCAAUAAAAAUAUGUGUAUGUUUGUGAGUGAUAAAACAAAU